GGUGACAGCCCCGUACACAAAAAUGCACAUACUGUGAGCUCGAUGAGUAGGGCGGGACACGUGGUAUCCUGUCUGAAUAUGGGGGGACCAUCCUCCAAGGCUAAAUACUCCUGACUGACCGAUAGUGAACCAGUACCGUGAGGGAAAGGCGAAAAGAACCCCGGCGAGGGGAGUGAAAAAGAACCUGAAACCGUGUACGUACAAGCAGUGGGAGCACGCUUCGGCGUGUGACUGCGUACCUUUUGUAUAAUGGGUCAGCGACUUAUAUUCUGUAGCAAGGUUAACCGAAUAGGGGAGCCGAAGGGAAACCGAGUCUUAACUGGGCGUUAAGUUGCAGGGUAUAGACCCGAAACCCGGUGAUCUAGCCAUGGGCAGGUUGAAGGUUGGGUAACACUAACUGGAGGACCGAACCGACUAAUGUUGAAAAAUUAGCGGAUGACUUGUGGCUGGGGGUGAAAGGCCAAUCAAACCGGGAGAUAGCUGGUUCUCCCCGAAAGCU
rnacentral:rRNA from 1 species